rnacentral:sRNA from 1 species
GCUGGAUGUGGUGGUGCACGCCUGAAAUCCCAGCAGCAUGGGAGGCUGAGGCAGGAGGAUCGCGAUUUCAAAGCCAGCCUCAGCCAUGCAGCAGGGCCCUGUGCAACUUAGCACGAUCCUGUCUCUU